rnacentral:rRNA from 1 species
GAUGAACGCUGGCGGCGUGCUUAACACAUGCAAGUCGAACGGAAAGGCCAGUGCUUGCACUGGUACUCGAGUGGCGAACGGGUGAGUAACACGUGGGUGAUCUGCCCUGCACUUCGGGAUAAGCCUGGGAAACUGGGUCUAAUACCGGAUAGGACAAUGGUUUGGAUGCCGUUGUGGAAAGUUUUUUCGGUGUGGGAUGAGCUCGCGGCCUAUCAGCUUGUUGGUGGGGUAAUGGCCUACCAAGGCGUCGACGGGUAGCCGGCCUGAGAGGGUGUACGGCCACAUUGGGAAUGAGAUACGGCCCAGACUCCUACGGGAGGCAGCAGGGGGGAAGAUUGCACAAUGGGCGCAAGCCUGAUGCAGCGACGCCGCGUGGGGGAUGAAGGCCUUCGGGUUGUAAACUCCUUUCGCUAGGGACGAAGCGUAUUUGUGACGGUACCUGGAGAAGAAGCACCGGCUAACUACGUG